AAAAAGUUAUUUGGUUUGGUCAUCAAAUGCAACAAUUGCGAAAUUGGCCAUGAACUCCACAGUUGCAGUGCUGUUAGAUACUGGAAAUCUUGCUCUCAGACAUGGUGAGACGGGCACUGUAUUAUGGCAGAGUUUUGAUUAUCCAACUGAUACGCUCAUUCCUGGCAUGAAACUUAGCUUGAAUAGGAAAACUGGCCAGCAAAGCCUUCUGUACUCGUGGGCCAACAAUGCAAAUCCUCGACCAGGAAUGUUCUCCAGAGGUAUAGAUCCUGAAGGUGUCCACAGAUUUUCAUUUGGAAGCAACAUCGCCCCUUUUGGAAAAGUACUGUAUACGACUAUAGUUUGGUUUAUAUAGAUCACAUACAUCAAGGGUUUGCCUCGUUUUUAACUUUCAUCAAAGAAAGUGAUGAAAUUUAUCUCACUUGCUGUGUAUCAGAAAACUUGCUUAAAGUAAGAGUCACUUUAACUCCUACUGGGCAAGCUCAGCUGCUGUUUUGGGCACAAAGUAGCAAUUCAUGGGUAGUUGAUUUUUAUGGGUAUUGUGGUCCAUUUAGUAGCUGUGAGCAAAAUGGAUGGAUUGCAUCCAUUUUGCAGUUGUUUGGAGGGUUUUGAGCCCAGAGAUCAGAAAGAAUGGAAUCUUGGAAAUUAGACAGGAGGCUGUGCCAGGAAGAUGGAAUUGACAUGUGAUAAGGGAGAUUGGUUUUUUAAGUUUGAAAGAACUAGAUUGCCUGAUUAUUCAGUGUCUCUGGGAAAUGUCCUGACAACUGCUCUUGCACAGCUUACACUUAUGCUAGUCUAACUAUAGAAACCACUGUGCACUGUAUGAAUUGGUUUGGGGCUUUGGUGGAUCUAAAUCAUAAUGCCUUCAUUGGUAAAGAUCUUUAUGAUCGCCUUCAUAGCUCUGACCAAGGUAUGUAUGAUAUCUUGCUUGAUUUCUGUUCAAGGCACUGUUUUUCUAAAUUUUAGCCCAAGUCAUGUAGUUUGUGAUGAGCUAAUUUUCUGUGUUUUGUUAUUCUUGUGUAGUUAGUAAUGCUAAGACUGGUAACUUGACCCCUAAAAGAAGAAUUUUUAUUGCAAUUGCAGCAGCUGCUAUCUCUACAGGAUUGCUAUUUAUUAGUAUCAUCGGCUAUGUCUUAACAGGUUGAGAAAUCCAGGGGAAUUUUCCUGAACUACAAUUAGCAGCUAUAAAAAGACUCUCAAAAAAAUCAUUGCAAGGAAUUGAAGAGCUCAUGAAUGAGCUGAAACUUACUGCCAAACUCCAACAUAAAAAUCUUGUCAGACUAUUGGGUUGUUGUAUGCCUUAAGCUGAAUGAGCUGAAACUUCCUAUUUUAUCCUUCUAAGCAAGACAAUGUGAAUUGGAGUAAUUGCUUCCAGAUUAUAGAAGGGAUUGGUCAGGGUCUUAUUUACCUUCGUAAGUAUUCUAGACUGAAAGUCAGUCACAGGGAUUCAAAAGCAAGCAAUAUUCUGUUCAAUGAAGCUUUGAAUCCCAAAAUUUUGGACUUUGGAACUGCAAGGAGUUUCAGAAUAAAUCAAACUGAUGCAAAUGCUAGGCCGGUGGUGGGCACAUAGUAAGUAUAGCAGAUAUUUCCAUUCAUCUGAACUUUAAAUAAGAUAAGUUUAUUUUAUACUACUGCAGAAAAUAUAAUGCUACUGCUGCUACUGUCAGCAUGGCUGUUAACAUUGUCAUUGGUGAUGCAAUGGUUACAUGUCACCAGAAUAUGCAUUGUCUGGGCAAUUUUAUGAGAAAUCAGAUGUAUUCAGUUUUGGAGUGUUAUUGUUAGAGAUUGUGAGUGGUAAGAGAAGCACUAAUUCUCAUCAAACCUGAACAUUCUCUAACCCUUAUAGGAUGGGUAAGUAUGCUAUGUCUCUUUUUUUCAUCCACUUAUGUUGGUUAUUUGUUUUUUGGAUAUAUAAGAUAAGUAUUAACUAUGAAAUUUUAUUUUGGAUGGCUUUAAUUUGUUCAAGGCAUGGAAGAAUUGGAAAGAAGGUAGUUGUUUGAAGUUAAUUGAUCCAUCAAUAAGGGAUAUAUGCAAUCUUCAGGAGGCAUUGAAACGCAUUGCUGUAGGGCUAUUGUGUGUUCAAGAAUUUCUGAGUGAUUGACCAACAAUUUAUGCAGCAAUUCUCAUGUUGAGAAAUGAAAAUGCUUCAGUUCCAUCACCCAAAGCACCUGCCUUUUCUACUUAUACGAAUUCCAACACUGCCUACUAUUCUUCUCAAACAUCUAAUUGCUAUUUCAACAAUGAAGUGACAAUUACCACGCUAGAGGCUCAAUAAGAAGCUCUCAAUUUUCAACUACACAGAAAGAUUUCCAUAAAGAUGAACUGCAUACAGAACUGAUGUCUCCGGUAGAGUAGGUUAUGGUAGUAGUAUUAGCAAGUGCACAAGAAGCAUACAUAUGAUGACAUUGUCACUUCCAUGUAUACAAUUUAUACUAGUAAAAAUUAAUAGAAGUUCUUCUCAUUAAUGUAAUUAUCAAUAUUGUAUAAAUACUAUGCUAGUAUCAGAAUGAAGAACAAGUUUAUUUUUUCUUGCUUAUUGGACAAAGCUGAGAGUGAUCUUGGAGACAAUCAUAUACCUUUGGCUCAAUAACUUAGAUUUGAUUAUACAACUAACAUCAUUAGUCUUGAUUUAAAGAUGAUUGAAAAACAUCAUUGAGUAAACCAUGAGAGGGUUAGAUCAAGUAGAAUUUAUCCAUUUCCUCACGCCAUUAUUUUCAGGGUAAUUUGCUUGAAAUUAAAGAAGCUAAGCCAUAAAAAGGCUAUCUAAAAAGGCAAUAUUACAAGAACUAGAGGAGUACAUGAAUGAGUUGAAACUUAUUGCCAAACUCCAACACACAAAUUAAUCUUGUUAGGCUUUUUGGGAUAUUGACAUAUACCGAUCUAUUGAAUAGAUGCCUAUUCUGUACAUUUUAAAUAUGUCUUUCCUAACCUCUCUCACAUUUUUAGUUCAGAUUUUCUCCAAGAUGCUUAAUAUCGGAAAAAUAUUGACAUCUCAAUUACACUCAUUGGAGCCCUAUACCAAUGUCAAUGUGGGACAAGCCCACUUUUUUCUCAAAGAAAAAUCUUGUUUUGAGGUGGCACUUGCAUUGUGCCUUUUUGCUCCAGGUUCUAACUUAUUGACUUUUGCAUUUUCCAUUAUAUAAAACUUAGUAGGAAAAGAAAUCUCAUCAGUGGCAUGCGUUUACCUCCUUCACUAAUUAUCUUUACUACUUUCUUAGUGCUAAUUCCUUCUUAUAGUUGCUGUCACUUUCACAAUGAAGCAUUAAUUUUCUAGCCUUUUUUUUCCCCCCUUUUAUUAUUCUUCCUAUCUAACACAAUAAUGGUAUCAUAUAAGCCACCAGCCAUAUCUUAUAUCUAUCUAAAUAUAAGUGUCCUUGUCAUAACUAUUAGCAAGCUUGAUCUUCUUUACAUUUUGGUUAAUAUUUUCUCCAAAAUGCAUAAUUGUCAAUGUGGGAGCCCUCACAAGGUUUGGGCUUAAAAGGCUGUGUUUCGAUUUUGACUUAUUGCUCUUAGCUCUACUUUGCCAAAUUUUCACC